rnacentral:rRNA from 1 species
GAUGAAGCUUCUAGCUUGCUAGAAGUGGAUUAGUGGCGCACGGGUGAGUAAGGUAUAGUUAAUCUGCCCUACACAAGAGGACAACAGUUGGAAACGACUGCUAAUACUCUAUACUCCUGCUUAACACAAGUUGAGUAGGGAAAGUUUUUCGGUGUAGGAUGAGACUAUAUAGUAUCAGCUAGUUGGUAAGGUAAUGGCUUACCAAGGCUAUGACGCUUAACUGGUCUGAGAGGAUGAUCAGUCACACUGGAACUGAGACACGGUCCAGACUCCUACGGGAGGCAGCAGUAGGGAAUAUUGCGCAAUGGGGGAAACCCUGACGCAGCAACGCCGCGUGGAGGAUGACACUUUUCGGAGCGUAAACUCCUUUUCUUAGGGAAGAAUUCUGACGGUACCUAAGGAAUAAGCACCGGGCUAACUCCGUGCCAGCAGCCGCGGUAAUACGGAGGGUGCAAGCGUUACUCGGAAUCACUGGGCGUAAAGGGCGCGUAGGCGGAUUAUCAAGUCUCUUGUGAAAUCUAAUGGCUUAACCAUUAAACUGCUUGGGAAACUGAUAGUCUGGAGUGAGGGAGAGGCAGAUGGAAUUGGUGGUGUAGGGGUAAAAUCCGUAGAUAUCACCAAGAAUACCCAUUGCGAAGGCGAUCUGCUGGAACUCAACUGACGCUAAGGCGCGAAAGCGUGGGGAGCAAACAGGAUUAGAUACCCUGGUAGUCCACGCCCUAAACGAUGUACACUAGUUGUUGGGGUGCUAGUCAUCUCAGUAAUGCAGCUAACGCAUUAAGUGUACCGCCUGGGGAGUACGGUCGCAAGAUUAAAACUCAAAGGAAUAGACGGGGACCCGCACAAGCGGUGGAGCAUGUGGUUUAAUUCGAAGAUACGCGAAGAACCUUACCUGGGCUUGAUAUCCUAAGAACCUUUUAGAGAUAAGAGGGUGCUAGCUUGCUAGAACUUAGAGACAGGUGCUGCACGGCUGUCGUCAGCUCGUGUCGUGAGAUGUUGGGUUAAGUCCCGCAACGAGCGCAACCCACGUAUUUAGUUGCUAACGGUUCGGCCGAGCACUCUAAAUAGACUGCCUUCGUAAGGAGGAGGAAGGUGUGGACGACGUCAAGUCAUCAUGGCCCUUAUGCCCAGGGCGACACACGUGCUACAAUGGCAUAUACAAUGAGACGCAAUACCGCGAGGUGGAGCAAAUCUAUAAAAUAUGUCCCAGUUCGGAUUGUUCUCUGCAACUCGAGAGCAUGAAGCCGGAAUCGCUAGUAAUCGUAGAUCAGCCAUGCUACGGUGAAUACGUUCCCGGGUCUUGUACUCACCGCCCGUCACACCAUGGGAGUUGAUUUCACUCGAAGCCGGAAUACUAAACUAGUUAC